ensembl:antisense 1700034P13Rik RIKEN cDNA 1700034P13 gene
GCUGGCAGCUGUCAUCCAGGAUCUGCUUUCCCACAAGGGCCCUCGUGUAGCAUCUGUGACCACAUGGUUUGUGUUUAAUUGCUCUUCACCUGUUACCAUUAAGUUCUGGCCUUUAUUCUUCACCCUAUCUGUUGGCAGCUAUAAGAAAUUAAAGACUCUACAAAGAGCCACAUUCUACUAGUCAUUUGCUUUGUGCAUACCUUCAAGGACACCUUUUUAUCACCCAGCUCUGUGGAGGCUUUGGUUGAAGUUCCACUAGUAAAUUGUCAACCUUUCUGCCUCAGAUCAGCAAGCCUUCCCAACACAAGACUUCGCAGAUGACCCUUUCAACAGAUACGAGGACAAUUCAACAGAGGAGUGGAACCUGUGGACAUGGAAG